CAGUUGCUGUGACAGGGAGCUUUGUUUAUUUGGUUUUCACUUUUCAGCAUGAAAUACAGUUCUGUCUUGAUUCUCCUGAGUCUGGCGCUCUCUGAAUGUUUCUAACUAGAAUGUUUCUGCUCAUUUGCAAAAAGUUUGCUCCCCUGAGACUGGUGGGCGCCUGGAAACACUGCUGGUGAGGCGCGGGUCUGCUUGGAUCACCGCUCUGCUUGGUCAGCUCACAAAUCAGGAGUGUUUCUAGAGUUAGAACUUUCCUGCGGUGGAUCCUGGAUGUCUCAGUUUCCCCAGAUGACCACAUGGCCUCAGAGUCCAGAGCUAGAUGUGCUGAUCUUGCAGCCCCCUCGUCCUAUGUCCUCAUCAAAACCAGGGGUCAUUGGAAUGGACUGAAGAAGGAGAAAGCUCAAAAGGAUCUGAGGAAGUGGUCUGGCUAAGAGCUUGAAAUGGACAGAGUCCUGGCUCUCAGGCAGACACUUAAAUUCUCCUGGUGCCACAGGCAUUACAGCUGAAUCCAUUUAAAAGAAGAUGGCAAAUAUAUAAAUCAUGACCUCAAAAUUCCUUCAAUCUCUCACAGGACACCAGGGAAACAUUUGUAUUAUGGCUCAAUAACAACCAGGGUCAGGAAUAAAUUUGAAAUUCUUUAAUUUAGGCUCCAAUUCAUUCAUAUGCCUGUUGCUAAAUUAAAUGCUUGAAAUAAUUUCCUGCUAUGAAAAUAUGAGACUCUUACUAUUCAGAUAAAUAGACUAUUCAAAUCAAAGGCCUGAAAUCUUAAGAAUUAUCUCAAAAUGACUUUUAAAAAAGCUUUUCUGUUUUUGAUCAUAAAAUGUCAAAGGCACACUAUAAU